rnacentral:snoRNA from 1 species
CCCAUCGGCGAAGAUGAGCUCAUCUCCUUCAUCAUCGCCGGCCUCGACAUGGAAUAUCAGCCCAUCAUCUCCGCUCUUGACGUGCGCAUUGAUCCUGUCUCCACCGAUGAACUCUUUGGCAUGAUCUCCAACUUUGAUC